UGAUGUUGUAUACUUAUGGUUGCAACAAUCAAUAAUUGUAUAUCGUUAUACGUCAUAUAAUGAAUGAUAAUAGAGAAAAUGUGGUUAUGUGUAUAUGUGUGUGGACCGUGACGUUUCUAUAAUUGUAGCUUGAGAAGAUAGUAAAAUACAAACGAAGCAAGCAACUCUCCUGGUCACGGGCAUUUGUCCUUUAACUCUAUUUUGAUGAAUUUUCUCAAUUUUCAUAUUAACUAUGUUAAGGUCUAAUUUAUAUAUCUAUUAUUUUUUCCACAGUAGAAAGUCUGGUGAAACGUAUAUUAUAAAACAUAGUUCACGUGAAGUAAAACUAUUUGGAGUUUGCUGAAAUUUACCCAUAAUCCAUAUAUAUGCAUGAAUGCAAGGAUUCGGGUAAGAAUUAUCUAGUUGUAAUUAGAAUGAAAACUGAUAGCUUAUAGACUUAUAGUGAGUGACAAUGUAGGUUAGUAUUUUUGCCACAAAAUUUUUGUGGAACCUACGUUUUUGAGAUUUGAAAACAUUCAGAAUUAAUUAACUAAGAAUAUCAAAAGACAAUCAUAAAUCUGAGCAAAAAUAUAAGCAAACUAUAUACUAUGAGUAUGAUUUAAGUAACUUGGUGGUCGUCACUCAUGAGAAUAACGAAUCAAUAUACAACAAUUUAUAGAUUCUUAAGAUUAUCAAGAAUAAAUGAGCAAAUAUUAUUUAUCGUCUACGUACGUACAUGUAGUUAAGUUAGGCAUUAGAAGAAAAAAAAAGAUAGGCAUUCGAAUACUUCAAUCGUUUCAUUAAGAAAAGACUUGUUGAUCGAUGUGGUUAAUUUAUGAAGAAAAAACUUGUUACUUAAUAAAUACUCCUACUACUAAAAUAAGUACAAAUCAUGGAUUUGGUGAUUAGAAUAUAAUUAACUAAUUGAUUUGAAGGUUGACUCUUUUCAACCAAUACACGUACGUAUCAGUGUAUCAACCAUGCAACGGUUUACCAAAAAAAAAAAAAAAACAUGCAACGUACACGUAAAGUUGAAUUCAGGUCAUGAAUGCCCUCAUGAGACAUGAAAAGGUUGAAUUCAGGUCGCCCGCAUGGUUUGAACUUGAAAAUGACACUAGACUGGUUAUUAAACAUCUUUAAAUCAUAUUUUCCGUCAAUGUAUUGUUAAUUAAUAUUAUGAUUGCAACUGCAGCUCUUAAACUCCAUUUAUUUGUUUUGGCAUAUAUUCAUGCAUAAUACAACUGUUAUAAUGCUAACUACAAUAUAAAAUUUUGAAUUCUUUGUUCAGAAGUAAACAAAAUAUUUUUAGAAAGGAAAUAAAUAUUGAGAUGACACCCAUGUUUAUACUCCAUUUGUUUCAUAAUAAGUGUCAUUUAAACUUUUUUUUCUUGUUAUACAAAAAUAUCAAUUUACAAUUCCAAUGCAAAUUAUACUUAUUUUCAGCUGAAAAUUAACUAUAAAUUGCAUUGAUUUUAUAAAUAAUUUUAUUUAUCUCAAAUACUAUUAGUCAGAGAAGUGUAAUUAAUAACAAUUUACAUUUAUUUCAGCAACUUUUUUAAUUUGUGCGAAAAAUGUCAUAGUGACUCUUAUUCAUAAACGCAAGGGAGUGUUAUUUAUUCGUAUCAUAUAAAACAUGAACGUAUAAGACAAAGAUUAAGUCAGUGAAGUAUCUUAUCGUUGAUAUAUAUAGAUAAUUUACUUACCAUAAUCUGUACAAUUAGUUGGCUAAAAAGGAAACGAAUGCAACUUGAAGAUUUUUGUUUCCUUCAUAGAUUAUAUGAUGAAGAAGCUAUAUGGUAUUUAACAAUGGCUUCAACUGUUAACACAGAACGGUCAGAAACAAACAAAAAGACUACCGACAAAAUAAAAGAUAUCAAAAAGACAAAUUAUCUUUUGCUACAUUCUUGUCUCAAUCUCCCUCUUCUUUCCUCCCAAUCUCUUUGACUAGCUUCGGUUCAGUUUCCGGUGAUCACCAACCGGAUCUGGUCCAAGAAAGAAUCUCGUCGACAAUAUCAACAAGCAUUCUCUCUCAACCAACUCUGUCUCCUCCUUUUGAUUGCUGCUUUACUUACUUUUAGCUCCAACGAUGGCCAUUGCAUUAGUUUCCGUGUAAUUUGGAGAGUUUUCUCAUAGAACUUGAGAUCUGUUUUUGGUUGGUGAGAUUGUUAAUGCGUUGAGAAUUGUCGGUUCAUAAACUCAUGAGAUUAUGAGAAUGCGGUCGUGUUAAUCCGGAAAUUGUGGUUGACUUGAGUGAGAGAGAUUCUUGAUUUUUUCGAGGAGUAAUAAUAAUAAAUGUUUCCCCUGGUUUUGCGUGGUGAUGAUUACACUUACCUUGACUUAAUGAUCUGAUUAGUCUUCUUAUAGAGACUUAAAGCGUGGAAUCUAUUUGAUGAGAUUUAGAAAUGUGUAAAGCGGAGAAGUGUCUAUACCACAGGAAGCUCUUAGAGAUGAAGGUUAAGUAUCUAGGAGAAACCAAGAUUGACAAGUUCAAGAUCUCCUUGGUUUCCAGGUCUCGUAUGAGCCUAUGGAUGAUUCGGGUUAUGACCAUAUUGCUGAUAUGGAGUUGUUUUGUUCAUUUGGUUGCUUUGGGUGGGAUGUGGGGACAAAGGUUGCUGAAAGGCUGGCCUUGUUGGCUCAGCCACCAUGAGUUCCCAAUGGCUGCACAAGAAAUGGCUUCUCUUCCAAUGAAAAUAGCCCUCCCUCCUAAAAGGAUAUAUCAGAACAAUGGUUAUCUUAUGGUUUCUUGCAAUGGAGGACUCAACCAAAUGCGAGCUGCGAUAUGUGAUAUGGUCACUAUUGCAAGGUACAUGAAUGUCACACUCAUUGUCCCAGAGCUUGACAAGGCCUCUUUUUGGAAUGAUCCAAGUGAAUUCAAAGACAUAUUUGAUGUGGAUCACUUCAUAACUUCUUUGAGAGAUGAGGUUCGUAUACUCAAAGAGGUUCCUCCAAGGCUUAGGAGAAGGGUCGAGCUCGGUGUGUACCACACCAUGCCUCCUGUUAGCUGGUCUAACAUGUCCUACUACCAAGACCAGAUUCUUCCCUUGGUGAAGAAGCACAAGGUCUUACAACUGAACAAAACAGAUACUCGGCUUGCCAAUAACGAACUUCCUGUCGAGGUUCAGAAGCUGAGAUGUAGAGUAAAUUUCAACGGGCUUAGGUUCACUCCAAAGAUUGAGGAACUAGGUAGAAGAGUAGUCAAGAUUCUGAGGGAGAAAGGUCCCUUUCUGGUUCUCCAUCUCAGAUACGAAAUGGACAUGUUGGCAUUCUCUGGUUGCUCUCACGGUUGCAACCGCUACGAAGAGGAAGAACUCACAAGAAUGAGAUAUGCUUAUCCAUGGUGGAAAGAGAAAAUAAUAAACUCAGAGUUGAAGAGGAAAGAAGGUCUUUGCCCAUUGACUCCUGAAGAAACAGCUCUGACACUAUCGGCCUUAGGCAUUGACCGUAAUGUUCAAAUUUACAUAGCUGCCGGAGAGAUAUACGGUGGUAAAAGGAGGUUAAAGGCUUUAACAGACGUCUUUCCAAAUGUGGUCAGGAAAGAAACUCUGCUCGAUUCGUCUGAUUUGAGUUUUUGUAAGAACCGUUCUUCUCAAAUGGCUGCUCUUGAUUACCUGAUCUCUCUAGAAAGUGAUAUAUUCGUUCCUACUUAUUAUGGGAACAUGGCCAAAGUCGUGGAAGGUCACCGCAGGUUCUUGGGGUUCAAGAAAACGAUUGAGCUAAAGAGGAAGUUCUUGGUUGAUCUAAUAGAUGAAUACUAUGAAGGACUGUUGAGCUGGGAAGUGUUUUCGACCAGGGUGAAGGCCUCUCACGGUACAAGAAUGGGAGGUCCCAAGAAGCGGCUUGUGAUUCCGAGUAAACCUAAAGAAGAAGACUACUUCUAUGCUAAUCCAUAUGAAUGUCUUCAGCUAUUACGUGAGAGUAGUGGCAAUUCACCAGAAGAAACAAUGUGAUCUGAUCCACACCAUUGUCGAUGGAGAUCAUGGAGCCGGAGAUCUUUGGAUUGUAUAUCAAUCUGGAAGAUGGGGUUUAAAAGGGGACCAAUCACCCCCCCAGUGAGACGUUAUUUGAGGUUCUUUGGUCUACAGCGACUUUCUGAAGAGCUAUCAAUGUUUUGAGGGAAGUGUAAGAAAAUAAAUGCUUUACCCACAAGAUAGAAGUCAUCUCAUUAUGCAUUUUACAAACAAAUGUUACAGUUUCUAUUCUAAUAUAUGAGCCUUUUUUUAGCAACAAAUGUUACAGUUUCUAUUCUAGUAUCAUAUGUAGAAGUCCUCUCAUUAUGCAUUUUACAAUCAAAUGUUACAGUUUCUAUUCUAAUACAUGAGCCUUCUAAUAUAUGAGCCUAAACUCAGAGAAUACAUAGUUUGAAGCAAAAAAAAAAAAAAGGUAACAAAACAUUAAUUAAAAAAACAUAUAUUUAUAUAUAUAUAUAUAGGCCUGGUUAACGUUGUCUUCUCACAUAAUGAACUUCUAAUUAAGUUUCUUAAACUACUUAAAUGACCAUCAAUUAUGGAUUGGGCUCCUUUUCCUUCCUUUCAUACGUGAAGAAUAAUCGCCUCUCAUUAGAUUAUCGAUCUCUUUUGCUGAAUCUGUUGACGGUAAACCUUUUGUUGAUCUUUUCUUUGUUCCAGACUCGAUAGGUUUUGAACUUUUUAACUGCCAGAAAACAUAUAUGAUUAUAUAUAAGGAAACAUGCUUAUAUGAAUCUUCCUCACUCAUAUUUGUAUUUUUCACGACUAUAUUUUCACAAUUAACAAUAAGAUACUGUAGCUAUUGAUUAAUGUGUACCUUUCGUCCCAUCAAGAGAGGUUCACUUCGGCUCACCAUAAGACCAUAAUCUUCAUAUUUGGAUCCACCUACAUCUAUGUUUCCACCUGUAAGUUCUCAAAGACUACAACAUCAGCAUCACAUGGUUAUGUACUCAUAUGUUUAGGUAUACUGAGAAGACAAACACAUGCAUGAUGUAUUGUAGAUAUCAACGCGCGCACACACACACACACAUAAAUAGAUGCUUACCAUCGUCAUAAGAAACAACGCACAAAU